AACAAAAUCGUCAGGCGCGUGCCAGCAGCUGACGUCUCCAGUCCGGCGCUGAAGCCUGUCUCCAUAUUCUGACAAGACUUAGGGAUUUCUGGGAAGGAGGCUAUCGAGGUUGGGACUUUGGAGAGAGAGAAGUAUAGAGAGGCACUUUGUAAAGGCGUCACAUCGAUCAGAGCCUGAAGUCGCAGUCCAGGAGCUUGUCAAACCCUUCAACGCAUCACAUCAGUCCCAGACCAGGAGCUGUGACUCAGCUUCCAUUCACAUUAAUGGAAGCUUUCCAUGGAAGUUGGCAUCACUCGACACUGCGGCCGUGGGAUAGUGAACCAAUCAAAAGUGGAUUGAAGAGUAGCCUUUUCCCCGUAACCCAAUCAGCAUUGUGUAUACAUGAGCCACUCCCACACCCUGCCCUUACAUGGCACGGAGGACUGGCCAAGGUCUACUGAUGGAUGUAAAGGCUGCUAGUUCAGAGACAACAGAACCACAAUACCAAGACUACUACUACUACUAUUACUUAUACUACUACUACAGAAGCACAACUACCAAGAGUACUACUACAUAACCAGAAGGAUGGAAACAGCUACCGACUUGACUCUGGUAAGAUCCGAUUACUAAUCAUAAUUUUAGAUUAAAUCAAUGGACAUUGAAUGUAUCUAGCACAGUAACAUAUAUUUUUGUCCACAAUUUCAGAUUGAAUAGUGCUAGUUAUAGAUCGCACUGAUAUCAAAAUACGUAAUCCCCUCCAAU
rnacentral:lncRNA from 1 species